GUGUUCCCUGGAGUUCCCUUGACCACUUCAUCAAGGUUCAUUUCAUUAUUUAAUGCCUUGCUGAAGUGUUUGGGGGAACUCUCGGGUUCAC
rfam:Capsicum annuum cultivar Zunla-1 chromosome 11, whole genome shotgun sequence